ACGCACGCUGGCGGCGUGCUUAACACCUGCAAGUCGAACGGAAAGGCCCUGCUUUUGUGGGGUGCUCGAGUGGCGAACGGGUGAGUAACACGUGAGUAACCUGCCCUUGACUUUGGGAUAACUUCAGGAAACUGGGGCUAAUACCGGAUAGGAGCUCCUGCUGCAUGGUGGGGGUUGGAAAGUUUCGGCGGUUGGGGAUGGACUCGCGGCUUAUCAGCUUGUUGGUGGGGUAGUGGCUUACCAAGGCUUUGACGGGUAGCCGGCCUGAGAGGGUGACCGGCCACAUUGGGACUGAGAUACGGCCCAGACUCCUACGGGAGGCAGCAGUGGGGAAUAUUGCACAAUGGGCGAAAGCCUGAUGCAGCAACGCCGCGUGCGGGAUGACGGCCUUCGGGUUGUAAACCGCUUUCGCCUGUGACGAAGCGUGAGUGACGGUAACGGGUAAAGAAGCACCGGCUAACUACGUG
rnacentral:rRNA from 1 species